GGCUGUCAUGCCCAUGUGUGGCUAUGACAUAACGACUGCCUUGACUGGCAGUAUUACAUCCUCAAAGCCUGUUAAACAGCCAGAAUUAUCUACCUAGUUUUCUACUGGACGGCUUGUCCUUUUCUGCUUAAUUUCCCAUUGGAUGUCUUGUUGGCUUCCUGAUAAAUUAUAUUCGUGAGGAUACAUGCUGCAGCUGCUCACAGAACAUCUUGUAGAGGAGGACAACAUCUUGUAGAGGAUGAGAGGCCUUGCUACAUGUCUAGAAUAUGAGGACUGGGCUGAGAAGUAUGGCCUAGCUUCAGGGUCAAGGGAAGUUUGAGGGAGAAGGAGGGAAGGAGAGAGGGAAAAGAGAGCAGUGGUGGAUGAAAGUGACCUUUCACAUCCUGUAAUUAAAGGAAAUCUUGUUAUUGCUGAUACCACAUAUAAAAAUGAUGUAGUUACAGUGAUAUGUCCGGACUGACCUCAGAAGAGACAGAGCUAUGAUAAAGCCACCCUGAGCUUCAUUUGGAACAAAUAUAUUGGGGUCAAAGAAUGUAGCUGCAGAAUAAAGUAGUAGCUUAUAGUUUG